UUACCAAAUAAAUAUUGCAUGUGACACA
rnacentral:piRNA from 1 species